rnacentral:sRNA from 1 species
GUGAAAUCGAGAAAUCGAGAAAUUGGGAAAUUGGGAAAUUGGGAAAUCAAGAAAGCAAAAACGCACAUUUUCGCUUUCGUGUUUUCGCGUUUUUGCUUUCUAGAUUUCUCGAUUUCUCGAUUUCCCUAUUUCUCGAUUUUCCUAUUUUCC